rnacentral:rRNA from 1 species
UGGGGAAUAUUGGACAAUGGGCGAAAGCCUGAUCCAGCAAUGCCGCGUGAGUGAUGAAGGCCUUAGGGUUGUAAAGCUCUUUUACCCGGGAUGAUAAUGACAGUACCGGGAGAAUAAGCCCCGGCUAACUCCGUGCCAGCAGCCGCGGUAAUACGGAGGGGGCUAGCGUUGUUCGGAAUUACUGGGCGUAAAGCGUACGUAGGCGGUGUCCCAAGUCAGAGGUGAAAGCCUGGUGCUCAACAUCAGAACU